AUUGAACGCUGGCGGCAUGCUUUACACAUGCAAGUCGAACGGUAACAGGCCUUCGGGUGCUGACGAGUGGCGAACGGGUGAGUAAUGCAUCGGAACGUACCCAGAGGUGGGGGAUAACGCAGCGAAAGCUGUGCUAAUACCGCAUGUGAUCUGAGGAUGAAAGCGGGGGACCGAGCAGCAAUGUUUGGCCUCGCGCCUUUGGAGCGGCCGAUGUCGGAUUAGCUAGUUGGUGGGGUAAAGGCCUACCAAGGCGACGAUCCGUAGCUGGUCUGAGAGGACGACCAGCCACACUGGGACUAAGACACGGCCCAGACUCCUACGGGAGGCAGCAGUGGGGAAUUUUGGACAAUGGGCGCAAGCCUGAUCCAGCAAUGCCGCGUGCGGGAAGAAGGCCUUCGGGUUGUAAACCGCUUUUGGCAGGAACGAAACGGUGUCCGCUAAUACCGGGCGCUAAUGACGGUACCUGCAGAAUAAGCACCGGCUAACUACGUG
rnacentral:rRNA from 1 species